GACGAACGCUGGCGGCGUGCUUAACACAUGCAAGUCGAACGGAAAGGCCCUGCUUUUGUGGGGUGCUCGAGUGGCGAACGGGUGAGUAACACGUGAGUAACCUGCCCUUGACUUUGGGAUAACUUCAGGAAACUGGGGCUAAUACCGGAUAGGAGCUCCUGCUGCAUGGUGGGGGUUGGAACGUUUCGGCGGUUGGGAUGGACUCGCGGCUUAUUCGCCUGUUGGUGGGGUAGUGGCUUACCAAGGCCUUGACGGGUAGCCGGCCUGAGAGGGUGACCGGCCACAUUGGGACUGAGAUACGGCCCAGACUCCUACGGGAGGCAGCAGUGGGGAAUAUUGCACAAUGGGCGGAAGCCUGAUGCAGCAACGCCGCGUGCGGGAUGACGGCCUUCGGGUUGUAAACCGCUUUCGCCUGUGACGAAGCGUGAGUGACGGUAAUGGGUAAAGAAGCACCGGCUAACUACGUG
rnacentral:rRNA from 1 species